AUUUCUUUUAACAUAUCAAGAAGUCGAAUUGGCAGUGAAGAAAUAAGUAGGAAGCCGAAAACCAUCAUUGCCUAUAACCAAAACCCAUUAAACCCAUACCAUGCAUGCUUUUUUCUUCACUGCCAAUUCGACUUCCUGAUAUGUUGAAAGAAAU
rfam:Gossypium raimondii chromosome 5, whole genome shotgun sequence.